GAGAGAGAGAGGUGGUUGGGCCUCUGUCACUUCAGGAAGUCUUAAAGCUCUUGUGGUCAGCGUCAUGUAUAAGGACACAGCUCACUUUGUCGUGUGUAACUGACCUGUUAGGUGUUUGAAUCAUGACCAUCAUCUGGAUCAUCAUCUUCACUCUGACGCCUGCUGGAGUCAGCGCUGGAACUACUGUAACUGGACACAGAGGACAGUCAGUCCAGAUUAGAUGCUCCUAUUGGUCUCUAUAAGACCUCCAUAAAGUAUCUCUGCAGAGGAGAAUGUUCUGCUUUAUGGGGAACUAAAGUCAUUCCAGUACAGUCUGGAUCUGCUGAAGAUCAGAGAUUCUCUCUGGAUGACGACACAGCAGCCAGAGUCUUCACCAUCACCAUCACUGACCUGAGACCAGAGGAUGGAGGAAGAUACUGGUGUGGGGUAAAGAGGCCUAAACCACUUCCUGACCUUUACACAGAGAUCCUAUUACUGGUUGAACAGGGUGACCCUCCUGCCGUCUCUCCCUCCACAUAUUCUCCUCCAUCAGUACAGACACAAUCCA